rnacentral:rRNA from 1 species
UACGUAGGGGGCAAGCGUUGUCCGGAUUUAUUGGGCGUAAAGAGCGUGUAGGCGGCUAGGUAGGUCCGUUGUGAAAACUCGAGGCUCAACCUCGAGACGUCGAUGGAAACCAUCUAGCUAGAGUCCGGAAGAGGAGAGUGGAAUUCCUGGUGUAGGCGGUGAAAUGCGCAGAUAUCGAAGGAAGAACACCCGUGGCGAAGGCGGCGUCUCUGGUACGUGACUGACGCUGAGCACGCGAAAGCGUGGGGAGCGAACAGG